rnacentral:rRNA from 1 species
AUUGAACGCUAGCGGCAUGCUUUACACAUGCAAGUCGAACGAGUGGCGGACGGGUGAGUAAUAUAUCGGAACGUGCCCAGUAGCGGGGGAUAACUACUCGAAAGAGUGGCUAAUACCACAUACUAUUGGAGCGGCCGAUAUCGGAUUAGCUAGUUGGUGGGGUAAAGGCUCACCAAGGCAACGAUCCGUAGCUGGUUUGAGAGGAGGACCAGCCACACUGGGACGGAGACACGGCCCAGAAUCCUACGGGAGGCAGCAGGGGGGAAUUGUGGACAAUGGGGGAAACCCUGAUGCAGCCAUCCCGCGUGUAUGAGAAGGCCUUCGGGUUGUAAAGUACUUUUGGCAGAGAAGCGGUAUCUGCAGAAAAAGCACCGGCUAACUACGUGCCAGCCGCCGCGGUAAUAC